UACGGAGGGUGCAAGCGUUGUCCGGAUUCACUGGGUUUAAAGGGUGCGUAGGUGGGCAAGUAAGUCAGUGGUGAAAUCUCCGGGCUUAACCCGGAAACUGCCAUUGAUACUAUUUGUCUUGAAUACUGUGGAGGUCAGCGGAAUAUGUCAUGUAGCGGUGAAAUGCUUAGAUAUGACAUAGAACACCAAUUGCGAAGGCAGCUGGCUACACAAAUAUUGACACUGAGGCACGAAAGCGUGGGGAUCAAACAGG
rnacentral:rRNA from 1 species